CCAUUUCUACUUGGCCCAGUUUCAAACCUUACAAACUGUAGGAAAUGCACCUGAGAAGCGUGAAAGUUGGACUCCGGUAGUCAAUCCAACAAGAUAAGCUGUUUAAAAGCCCGAAACCGAAAACUGGUAAACAACAGUCUUGAAGAAACAAACAUCACACUCUCUACAUAGAUCGCAGUUUAGAAAGAGAGAGAAGCAAGAAAAUGAAGCUGAAGAUAUACGCAGAUCGAAUGUCCCAGCCAUCACGGGCAGUUCU
rnacentral:lncRNA from 1 species